rnacentral:rRNA from 1 species
UACGUAGGGUGCGAGCGUUAAUCGGAAUUACUGGGCGUAAAGCGUGCGCAGGCGGUUAUAUAAGACAGAUGUGAAAUCCCCGGGCUCAACCUGGGCACUGCAUUUGUGACUGUAUAGCUAGAGUACGGUAGAGGGGGAUGGAAUUCCGCGUGUAGCAGUGAAAUGCGUAGAUAUGCGGAGGAACACCGAUGGCGAAGGCAAUCCCCUGGACCUGUACUGACGCUCAUGCACGAAAGCGUGUGGGGAAAACAGCAUUAGAUGGCCGGUAGUCC